UCCAGCACACUCCCUUAUCCACUAAACAGCAACUUUGGUUCUGACAGAUUUUUUUUUUUUUAAACACCUAAUCUAGGCAAAAAAUAAUAAGCCCAGAUAAGGUGUUUAUUAAAAAACUAACAAAAUCUAUCAGCACCAAAGUUGCUGUUUAGUAGAUAAGGGAGUGCGCUGGA